ACAAUAGGUAAUAUGUACAAGUGCUUUGUUUUUGUGAAGUGAUAAAGUUUAUGAGUCUAAGUAAAUACGGCGGUGUUGCGAUCGCCUAAGCCCUAUACUUAACAGACACAAGUACUAAUUGGUACUGGUAAAAUAUUGUAUCAGAUCAAGGUUACGGGAAUAGAGGAUCCAACACCUUUACAAUAAAUGAAACACAGGACCUAGCAUACGAGACGGUUAUCCUCAACAAACGAUGUCGACAACGAGAAAGCAAUUUGAUAACGCAGCAGGAAACUAUUUAAGGCAUAACCGGCGACACUUCCAAGGAGAUUCUGGAUUACACCUAUAAAUUACGACCCGUUUUAGAGAAUAACAGACCAGCCUUAGAAUUCAGAAUCCCACGAAGACCAGCAACAGUCAACAAAGUUGUAAGCAAAGAUAAAGAUGUGUCAAUAAAAUUAGACGAAAGACGAUUCGCGCGGUUUCGCCUGAUUAAGCGUUCCUGCUCCUUCCCCGUGAGUCUCAGGAGAUGAUAUAGCCUAUAAACAUCUUCAACGAUUAGGCUAUCAAUGAUCAGCGUCAC